rnacentral:pre_miRNA from 9 species
CGCCGACCGCGUAAAAGUUAUCUCAAAUUUGUAUGGAGUUGGAACGUUUGCCUACGUUUGCCGCUAGGGGCGCUGUUACAAUACCAUACAAAUUUGUGUUAACUUUUACGCGGUCGA